rnacentral:misc_RNA from 1 species
GGUCUUUAUUUAGCUUCCUUUUAUAUUUGUAACUCACCCUAUAUAAAUAGGAAACCUUGUAUUUGUUUAAACAUAUAAGAAAUAGAGAUUUUUUUCUCUAAAUUUACUGUUCUUAACAUAGUAUCAUAGCACAGCCAAAUUUGUUGGCGUGAAAUUUCCUGAGCAAUACCAAGAUCUAGAAUUUUAUUAAGGUCAUUACUUGAAGCGUCUCCUACGACGGGAGUUGGAGGUCACCACCCACCUC